CUGCCAGAGUGUUCUGUCUACUAAAAUGGACUUGGAUUUGUGGAAAAAAGAGGAUUCUUCCUCUAAUCCUCUUUCUGUAGCUUUUUAAAGAUUUAUGGAUAUAGCUGUAGAAGGGAAAAAGAAAAAUCCUGUUUCUCUCUCUUCCAUGCAAUAGCUUGUUAAACUAAGAAGGACAUGAUUAUUCCAUUCAGUUUGAAUCCUGUUUAUUGAAUGACCAAAGGACGUAAACAGCCUUUGUAAAAGAUGAAGUGUAAUCCAGACAGAAAGUAUUAUUAUUGAGGAAGAGAGGUGCUUAUGACAUAUCAUAAGAGUCUUUGCUCCUAUUUUGGCUCUUAAAACUGUUUUACUUUUGUUUUAGACUUAGAAGGUUUUGACUCCGUGGUAUCAUCUACUGAGAAACUCAGUCAUCCGACCACAAGCAGACCAAAAGCUACAGGGAGGCGGCCUCCGUCCCAGUCCCUCACAUCUUCAUCCCUUUCAAGCCCUGAUAUCUUCGACUCCCCAAGUCCCGAAGAGGAUAAGGAGGAACACAUUUCACUUGCGCACAGAGGAGUGGAUGCGUCAAAGAAAACUUCCAAGACUGUUACCAUAUCCCAAGUGUCUGACAACAAAGCAUCCCUGCCGCCCAAGCUGGGGACCAUGGCAGCAGGUGGCGGUGGGCCAGCCCCUCUGUCCUCAGCGGCGCCCUCCCCCCGUCAUCCUCUUUGGGAACAGCUGGACACAGAGCCAACUCCCCGUCUCUGUUCGGCACGGAAGGAAAACCAAAGAUGGAGCCUGCGGCCAGCAGCCAGGCAGCCGUGGAGGAGCUAAGGACACAGGUCCGUGAGCUGAGGAGCAUCAUCGAGACCAUGAAGGACCAGCAGAAACGAGAGAUUAAACAGUUAUUUCUGAGUUGGAUGAAGAGAAGAAAAUCCGGCUUCGGUUGCAGAUGGAAGUGAACGACAUAAAGAAAGCUCUACAAUCAAAAUGAAUACUUGAUUAAUGAAAUGUCACAUUAUUCAUCCUGAGUCCGAGACUCAAAUUUUCUGCCCCAGCCAAAAUAAUCUUGUGCCAAAAAGAUUAAAGGUUUGCCUCAAAAUGUCCCUGUUUGAAAGAUUAGCACAAAAGUCUUGACAGCACAACACAAAUUCCAUCCAAGAGGAGAAUCUUCCCCAGGGUUUAGUCCUGGGGCUGGCACUCGUUGUGACUUACACAGAGCAAAAUUGUGCUAAAGGCUUUUCUACUCUGAGAUCUCAAUGUGAAAUGAAAACUCAGGCAGUUUAGUCCAUAGUGGUACUAUUUUGAUGAUAUUUUCCAUUAAUAAAAUGUAAUUUCAGAUUAUUCGUUUACAAGCUUUAUAAUUUUAUGAUUUUUAAUCGUGUUUUGUCACAGACUUCCCUAGUGUUUGUACUACACGUAGUCAGAAGUGAGUGUCCUUUUCUUUUGCUUCAGGCUAAGAGCUGCCUCGCUCUUUGUCCCCCCAUUAGGAUUCUAUUACAUAUGCAAUUGUAGAUUCAACCUGUCCCUUUCCCUGCCAGCAAACCCCACCACCCUAAGAGAAAUUUUAGCUUAUAUAUGAUGGUAUAUUUACAAAAAGAGAAAGAGAAAGUCUGGUAUUUGCAAUGAUCUGUGCCUUCUUUUUACCACCCUCUUGAUUGGAGCUUUUGUGAUGCAGCUACCAUGAUUCAAAAAAAUUAAAAAUUAAAAAAAAAAAUCUGCCACUUAUCCAAGUCCACUAGAGGCCACUGUCUUCAAAGCUUCUCUCACCCUAGCCAAAGGUCCUAAGAGGAGACAGCUGUGAAGUUGGGCGUGCUCUGUGGUACCAGCUGUGACUUUUCUAUUUCUCCUAGUUUUAGGUUGUUCAUGAAACUAGAAAUGUCAUCCUGCUUGAUUUUUCAUCAGCCAAGUUAAACCCCUGCUUUCUGUCCUUUGCACCUUUUGCGUGAACAGAAUAUGCAUUAUUAAAGCAAAAAUAAAUAAAAGUAAAAUGUAAAUGAAAACAAGGGAGGGAAAGUUGUAUUAUUUCCUGCACUGGGUUACCCGUGUGUGUUAUCGUUUAAACUGUAUUCACAUAAUGUCAUUUGCCUUGCUCACUUGUAACCCCUUCCUCAGGUCCAAGAGAAUGGGAGGAGGGUCAUGUUGAAGUGUAGCCAUUGGAACUUUCUUGCAUUUAUGGAGUUGCUUUUUCUUUCCCAAGGAAACUGAUGUUUGUCUGUCCGCUUUAUCUUUGUAGUAUAUGAACAGUUCAGCCUUAGACUAUGUAACUGUUUUCUCAUCCUUAGCUGAAAAUGAGGGGCCUACUGUAUUGCGAGACUGUUCAGGGGUAGGGGUGGAGGGGGUGGUCCCUUAAUGGCCCCUGAAGAUGUUGGAUGUGUUUCUCAAAAGCUGCUUUG